rnacentral:misc_RNA from 1 species
GAUGAAGAACGCAGCGAAAUGCGAUACGUAAUGUGAAUUGCAGAAUUCAGUGAAUCAUCGAAUCUUUGAACGCACAUUGCGCCCGCCAGUAUUCUGGCGGGCAUGCCUGUCCGAGCGUCAUUUCAACCCUCGGGCCCCCCUCUGCGGGCGGCCCGGCGUUGGGGCUCAGGCGCCGUCUCUGCUCGGCGCCUGUCCCCUAAAUGCAGUGGCGGCCUCGCCGCUGCCUCCUCCGCGUAGUAGCACAAACCUCGCGGCUGGAAGGCGGCGCGGCCACGCCGUAAAACCCCCCAACUUUACCAAGGUUGACCUCGGAUCAGGUAGGAAUACCCGCUGAACUUAAGCAUAUCAAUAAGCGGAGGA